UGAUCUCUCUCAAGCCAUGGUCUUCUACCCCCUCUCGCUUCAAUAUCUCCGUUUCAGAUCACUCUCUGUCGUCUUGAAUGCGUUCAAGCCAUGGUCUUCGACCCCCACUCGCUUCAAUAUCUCUCCGUUUCAGAUCACUCUCUGUCGUCUUGAAUGCGCUGCCGCCAUCCUGCACAUCAAGUAGGGUUUCAUUUUUGUUUGGCAAGGAUGCCAACCACUAGAGAUUGGCGAUGCAGAAGUUUCGAUAUUGUUCAAUGAGGCAUCUUGAUCUGCCUUGUGUGAUUAGAGAUAGUUUGAGCCUUUUCUGUUUAGGUAAGGCGUUAAAACUGAUUUCUAGGUUUGAUUUGGUUUUCCUACUUGGAUGCAUCUUUUCUGUAUAUAUUUUCUUGUCCAAUGGACUUUCCAGAAUUUGCAUUCUUACCACAUAUGUACAUGUUGGUGUGACUGUAUGUAGCCCUGUUCUUCGUUCAAAGAAUUUAAUCUGCAUUCUAAAUGUUUUCAGCCUAAGCUUUUAGCUGUGCAGGAUGAACUUGGUUAUGAAAUCCGUGAUUUUGAUGACGCACCAGUCGAAGUUUCUGCUUCAGGUUUUCACUCUUUUCUAAUUAUGGAUAACUACUUAUUAUCCAUUUUUGUGUUGUCGAAGGCCCCUAGACAGACCAUGGGGCGGUGUGUUUGGAACAAAGUUGAUUGAUUUCUGAGAACUCUUCUUGCCGCAACCUUCUUUUCAGUCAUGUUAUGACGAUAUUAUUUUACAGAAGAUAUUUUCUGAUAUUGAUCUACUAAAACUCUGAACUGCACAAUCACAAACACUAGAAACCCACAAAAUGUGGGAGGCAGAAGCAGCGACCCGCAGAGCAACAAUGACCAAGAUCUAAAGCUUGAUGGUCCAAUUGCAGACGAAGGACCAUUAUAUUGCUCAACUGACCGAUUGGAUCCUGUUCCUCCUGAACAAGAACCAAAAACAGUGUAGACCAUCUCCUGUUUCUGAUCCUAAGCCAGCAGCAAAGGAGCCAACCAUGUGAAAUGUCUUUCCAGAUUGAUUGAGGAGAAGUGGAGAAGAUUGCAACAUCUACGUAGCAUUUGAAGACUUCGAUACUUGGAGGUUUGUACACAUAUCAACCACUUGGACUUGUGGCUUUAAUUGUGGCAGGGAAAGUAGGCCUAAACUUGACCACCGGAAAUUGAUGGGCAACUACUGACUCACCUAUUCAUGGGAGAGCCUCUGCCAUUAUUUUCAUGUCGCCUCCUGUAACUCCAUGAUUUAAACUACUCUCAUUGAAGGAGACAUUUAGUGACAAUUUUCUUCUCCGCCUAAGAUUUGUAGUGCUAAAAAUUAAAACAUAUAUAGGGCAUGAAAAUGUUUAUUUUCAUUACAGAAAUAGCUUCUCUGCUUAUAAGGGAACUUCGU